rnacentral:snRNA from 1 species
AAAUGUUAUUUUUUAUUAUUUCUCUAGUAGGUUUUCUCAAGGAGAAAGCCCAC